ACAAUUACAGACACCAAAGACUCAAAUAAAAAGAUUUAUUGAAAAGAAUAUUUGUGAAGGAGGUACAUGUUAUUGCAUGAAGUACUAAAUUAGAUAGACCAGAAUUUUGGUGAGUGGGAGGUAAGUGGAAUCUAAUCAACUAAUAUCAGGAGGCCGGCCAGAGGAGCUCUGAGGAGAUUUACAGAAGUAAACCUGAGAGAUUUUCUCCAGAAAUCGAAGGAGUAGGAAGGCACAUAGCGUGAAACACAAGAACUCAAGCAUGAGAUAGACUGCUUUCCCGAAAAAGGAGAGACAACUCGGAUUAAGGUCAGAACUGAGAGAACUUGGAAUGCAGAGAAGGUAGGCCUGUUUACCAGCUCCUAUUUAAGCUCCUGCUAAUCGGUCCUGAUGCACUGCAGCUGUGGAGCCACACCUGCCAGUCACAUCCUGCAAGAAAGAGGUAGGAGAGACACAAACCUGCACACAGAUCUGAGAAUAUGACAGAAAUGCCUUCCUCCUCGGGCAUUUGAUCAGAAUGCCUACUGGAUGCCUCCCUGUAGUGGGUUUCUGGUAACCUUUCACUGGGAGCAGUCCCCCAAAGGUGGAGCAGGAAUCCAGAAAUUCUUCUUCUGAGUUCUCAGUCUUCCAUGGCCUAAAAAACCUUCAGAUACCCCAGGAGGACCUGGAAAUUGGUGCUCAGGAGAGGAAUCCCUGGGAUUCCCUCUAGCAACUGUUUCCUCAGCAACCUGAUUGAGCAUAAUUAGAUGAUAGUAGAUGGAUGAAUGGUUUUUAGCUGCUUGAAAUGUAAAACACAAAUAUUCUCUGAAACAAACUCUUAACAAGUACAUCAACUAGAUCAUUUUCCCACUUGAAUACAUGCCCUGAAUUGGUACCAAACUUUACACAACCACUUGAAACAAAGUGACACCACUCGUCUUAAGGUUUUAGCUCUGAUUGUUACCCUUAACCGUCUGCAUGUGCCAGCGGCAGAUACGCAAACUUUCUGGGAAGCCGAAUGAAGCUGAUUCAACUGUGGGACUUUUUUCCCACUAAUCACAAAAUCUUUUAUUGUGAAAUCUAUGGUUUCAUAGUGAAAGAUUAAUUAUACCUGGGCUGAAUGAGCCUGUUUCACAAUAACAUGAAAACCUCAGAGGACGAGCUGACUUGUGUUCCAACAUGUUUUUUCAAGCAGUAGGACAAGAGCUUGGACGGUUCUCAAUUCUUGUUUGGGGUGCACACAGACCCAAACCUCCGCCCCCCUCCACACAGAGCUGGAGAAACAUCAACCCCUCCAGGGGCCUUUGCAUGGUGUACCUCCUGGGGUGGGAGGCCUUCUGUGGGGCCUGCAGGACUGUAUUUGUGGUCAUCAUAUGGACCCACCUCAUCUUGCUUUGAUUAGCUGAGGUCAUUUAUGUUUGUAAUUCCUGCUGUGUGAUAUAACCACAGCUGUCAAAGGAGUUGUGUAACUUUCUUCUUAUCUAGUUCACACAUUCCACCCUGUGUGCAGAGAGCGAGAGUGAUGAACAGACAAGCAGAGAUAAUGUAGCUAUGUUUGAAGUCAUUUCUUAGCUGAAGACACAUCACAAAUCAAGCAGGAACAGGAUGCACCAUGACCCUGGACAAGGUCACAAGCAAUAAUGCAGAAUUCCCAAGACUCUUUUUGCUUGUCCUGUAACCUUGGAAGAAGUUAAAGCUGAGAGAACAGUUAUUGCACCAUGCUGCUUCAGCGAAACAUGCAUGCCGAAACCUGAGUACAGAAGGGAAUGGGUUUAAUUUGCCUUGAAGCAUCCUUCAGGGGCUCUAAACAAGACACGUCUGCAGUGUGACCUGCAAACAGCUUGCAUCUGCAUUCUCCAUUUGUAAAAUCAUCAUUACCUCACUGUAAUUGCUCUCAGCAGCAGCAGCAGCAGUCCUGUUGGGGCCUUCAGAGUGUGCUUGCAUUGUUUUUUUUUUUUGUUUGCUCUAACAAGAUUUGACCAUGCAGGCAAAUAAAGAUUUUAGGGCACAUUUAAAUGCAGAAUAACUACUUGUAAUGGCCAGACUGCAUGACUCUGUGGAAAAUGGAGGGAAAUGUUGUAUUGGACUGAGCCAGAUUUAGCUGCUCCAUAACUGCCAUCAAAUAUUUACAUGUAAAGCAGCAGUUUUCAUCUCAGGAUUUAAAGUUUGGAGCUCAGAAAUUCUGUUAUAAAAUAAGUGAAUGAGUGCAGCUUUCAAAGCAUUUCUCGCUCAGAAGUUAUUUCUAGACAGACGAAAUCCCUUCAAGUCCUGGCUCGGCCAGUUCUGGUUUGGAUCAUGAACAGUGGGUCUGUGUAUUUCUGCCUGCUGCUAAUCAAAUUAAAGCCCACAGCUCUCCUCACCUCACUCAAUCUGUCUCAGCAGGACACCAGCAGUAAAACGGCUCCCUAAUUACCCUGAAGGAAGUGGACCAGAACAAUGUACACCAUCAGUUUUACUUCUGUUGGAAACAAUUAAAAGAAAGCAGCGUAAUUCCCCUUCCUCUGAUUACAGUUGGGAGUUAAAUUUCCUUUCUUUGGUCAAAGGAUUUUUCACCCUUUGACCAUUAUUUGCUUCACAUGUGUUUAAUAAGGAGACAGUAAUUGUUUCUGAUCAGUUUUGAUUUGUUUUUAUCAAUAACUUUUGGGGUUUGAUUGGUUGUCACAGGAUUUCUAGCCUUGCUCCUGUUCCAAAGGUCUGACAAGUCAAGUUAGCGAAUGUUAGGUAAAUCUAAACCGGAAGCAGUGAAUGUGGUUCUUCAAAAUAAAACAACACUUUUGGAUUGCGUAUUAAAUGUGUUGUUUGUAUUUCUUUAUACAUGUAAUAUAUAGGGGCUGCCAGGUGACCCAGUUGGUAGCCCUGUUGUCUUACAGCGAAGAGGUCUGGCUUCUCUGCAUGGAGUUUGCACGUUCUACACACACAUGCAUGGGUUCUCUCCAGGAGCUCCUGAGGUGUUGUCUGGCUACAAGGUGUACACAUAUUUCCCUGAUUAAACACACCUGAUUUAAUAGAAUGUGUGAUCAUCAAACUCCUGUACAACCUGCUGACUAGCUGAGAGGUUGAGGAACCUAUUUAAAUCAGGUGUGUCGGAGCA